GGUCUCGUAGCUCAGCUGGUAGAGCAUGCGCGUACAAAGCGUAGGCGGCGUCCGCGCGUGGGUUCGAAUCCCACCGAGGCUA
rfam:Echinostoma caproni strain Egypt genome assembly, scaffold: ECPE_scaffold0005611